ACGAGGUAGUGGUAAGGUCUGCGUACACGCUACGUACCCUCCCCAGACCCCACUUUGUGAGAUUUCACUGGGUAUGCUGUUAUUCUUAGUAGCAAGGACCUGCAACUUUCAAAGGGGUAACCAACCACACGAAUCACGAUAACAAACCCUCACUUUACUUAAUGGAUAGCAUUUGUUCUCUUUCAAUAAACAAAAUGAGAAAUUGGGGAGAAAGAAGAAAGCUAAAUUUGGUGAUGACCUAAAAGCCAUUGGACCCUACACCUCACUGACCAAAGACAGAGGUGCAUUUUGUAUUGGACUGAACUAUGACCACUGUCCUGUGUGACUGUGUCAUUGACAAAUAUAAGCCAGUCAAGUACACAUCAUUUUGUAGCAAAUUCGUGCAGAACGAGCAAAAUAAAAAUAAUGCUUAAGGAGGAAAUACAAGACACAGAAACCCAAACAGUUUCCUUUCAAGAA
rnacentral:misc_RNA from 1 species